rnacentral:rRNA from 1 species
UGAGGAAUAUUGGUCAAUGGGCGAGAGCCUGAACCAGCCAAGUAGCGUGCAGGAUGACGGCCCUAUGGGUUGUAAACUGCUUUUAUAUGGGGAUAAAGUGGGGAACGUGUUCCCUUUUGCAGGUACCAUAUGAAUAAGGACCGACUAAUUCCGUGCCAGCAGCCGCGGUAAUACGGAAGGUUCGGGCGUUAUCCGGAUUUAUUGGGUUUAAAGGGAGCGUAGGCCGUUUGGUAAGCGUGUUGUGAAAUGUAGGAGCUCAACUUCUAGAUUGCAGCGCGAACUGUCAGACUUGAGUGCGCACAACGUAGGCGGAAUUCAUGGUGUAGCGGUGAAAUGCUUAGAUAUCAUGAAGAACUCCGAUUGCGAAGGCAGCUUACGGGAGCGCAACUGACGCUGAAGCUCGAAGGUGCGGGUAUCGAACAGG